CACGUGCUCUUGGCGUAUUUGUCGUAACUUGUCUUACCUUUUUACAGUGCACAGAUCCUUUGUCUGGGCGUCAGGUACUCUACAAAACCCUGGCCCUCUAUGACUAUAAUGGACAUGGAGCUGAGGAUAUGGAGUUUAACGAGGGUGAUAUUAUUGAUGUGCUGUCUGAAGUGAAUGAGGAGUGGCUGGAAGGACAUUCAAAUGGAAAUAUUGGUAUCUUUCCCCGUUGUUUUGUCUGCCCAAGAAGUUCAGUAAUUGCUGAUUCCUAGGAGAUCAUCCAGCUCUGAAGCAACUGUCUGCUAACAGACUGUGGAAUGGAGAAGAGGAACGUGCAGCCAGGAACCAUGGACUGAAGUCUGAGCUCAGCAUUUCAGGGGGUCGCCCAAGGAAGUGGGAGUGAGGCACAGUCACUGUCCUAGGGAGGAGUGGAGCUCAUGAGCAGUGGGGUGAAUGAUUUGAUCUGUAAUUGAUAUUAAAGAGCUUUUGACGAUU